rnacentral:lncRNA from 1 species
UAAUUAUAUAUUUACUAAAUACUGAUACGACUCUAUACCCAUGCAUGCACGUCUAGGCCGCCUGUGCCCUUACCGGCUAAAAUUUGAAAGUUUUUCCUUUAAUUCUUGUCAUUCUGCAUUGUACCCUUAUAUUAGUAUACCAUGGUAUUGUAAGAAAAUGCCACUGGUAAAAAGUGAUUCUCAUGUGACCAUCCAGUAAGGAAAUCGAAGUGGUUAGGUUUUUAAAUCUUUGUUUGUAUUUUCAUAAUUUCUUGUAUGAAAUUUUCUACGAUGAGAAAUCUAUUUUUAAAUAUUGCCUUCAAUAAUGGUUUCUGGUAUGGUACACUUAACCCCUCCUUCAAAAAUAUUAUUUUGUUUCAUACCCCCAACCCAAAUAGGCUUCCCCACCCCCUCCUUCACAACACACGCUUUAUGACCGCGCUCUAUGAUUGCGCUAAUGUCUUGUAAUCAUUAACGUUUGACCACUCAACUCCAAAUGACCCAAAUGAUAACACAAGAAUAAAUUCGAAUAAUAAUAUAUACACUUGGCGGAAGUCUUAGUUUAAUUAAUUUGAAUAAAAAAGAGUUCAGCAAAUAACUUUUAAACGACAUACACAUUUGUAUGCAACACAAAUUAAAGCUUCAGAGAUUAAUUAAUGUAUGUCAUAUGCAGGUAUGCUCAACUUCCUGUGUAUUGUUGCAGUCAAGGUUGUCCAAGUUC